rnacentral:rRNA from 1 species
GGCAGCGAGCUACCAUGCAGUCGAGCGGAUGAGGUAGCUUGCUACCGGAUUCAGCGGCGGACGGGUGAGUAAUGCUUAGGAAUCUGCCUAUUAGUGGGGGACAACGUUCCGAAAGGAGCGCUAAUACCGCAUACGUCCUACGGGAGAAAGCAGGGGACCUUUGGGCCUUGCGCUAAUAGAUGAGCCUAAGUCGGAUUAGCUAGUUGGUAGGGUAAAGGCCUACCAAGGCGACGAUCUGUAGCGGGUCUGAGAGGAUGAUCCGCCACACUGGGACUGAGACACGGCCCAGACUCCUACGGGAGGCAGCAGUGGGGAAUAUUGGACAAUGGGGGGAACCCUGAUCCAGCCAUGCCGCGUGUGUGAAGAAGGCCUUUUGGUUGUAAAGCACUUUAAGCGAGGAGGAGGCUACCUAGAUUAAUACUUUAGGAUAGUGGACGUUACUCGCAGAAUAAGCACCGGCUAACUCUGUGCCAGCAGCCGCGGAAAUACAGAGGGUGCGAGCGUUAAUCGGAUUUACUGGGCGUAAAGCGUGCGUAGGCGGCCAAUUAAGUCAAAUGUGAAAACCCCCAGCUUACUUUGGGAAUUGCAUUCUGAUACUGGUUGGCUAGAGUAUGGGAAAAGGAUGGUAAAAUUCCAGGGGUACCGGUGAAAUGCUUAAAAAUUUGGAGGAAUACCGAUGGGGAAGGGCGCCAUCCUGGCCCAAUCCUGACCCUGAGGUUCCAAACCUUGGGGGACCAACCGGAUUUAAAUCCCCGGGUGAUCCUUGCCCUAAAUGAUGUCUUCUAACCCCUUUGGGGCCCUUGAACUUUUUUGGUGGCCACCUAACCCAUAAGUAAACCCCCUGGGGGAUACGCCCCCAGACUA